AUCUAUCUGACGAGUCCUAAAUAGAACGAAAAAUACAUUCUGGAU
rnacentral:hammerhead_ribozyme from 1 species